rnacentral:rRNA from 1 species
CGGGAACGGGUGAGUAAGUAGUCUCGGGAAACGUAGCCGAUAGAGGGGAGUAAACACUGGAAACGGUAGCUAAUAACCGCAUAACGUACGCAAGACCGGAAAGGGGGGACCCUUCGGGCCUCUUGCCAUCGGAUGUGCCCAGAUGGGAUUAGCUAGUAGGUGGGGUAACGGCUCACCUAGGCGACGAUCCCUAGCUGGUCUGAGAGGAUGGCCAGCCACACUGGAACUGAGACACGGUCCAG